AAAUUUUUUGUAACAGUGACAAUAAACACGUUAAAAAAAAAUCUGUUCUUAUCAGUUUAAUAUCUGAUAUGUCUCCUAUCUGGGGACCAAAUAUUAAAUUGCUUUUUGGGACAGGGAGCUGAGCUCGGGGCUUGCGCCGUCCGCUCCACGCAUCGACCUGGUAUUGCAGUAUCUCCGGGAGCGGUGCACUUCUC